CAAGUCGAACGAGAAAGUGGAGCAAUCCACUGAGUAAAGUGGCGACCGGGUGAGUAACACGUGACCAAUCUACCCUUGAGUGGGGGAUAACCUCGGGAAACCGGGGCUAAUACCGCAUAAUAUCCUUGGAACGGAAGUACUGGGGAUCAAAGGAGCAAUUCGCUUAAGGAGGAGGUCGCGGCUGAUUAGCUAGUUGGCGGGGUAAUGGCCCACCAAGGCAAAGAUCGGUAGCCGGCCUGAGAGGGCGCACGGCCACACUGGAACUGAAACACGGUCCAGACUCCUACGGGAGGCAGCAGUGGGGAAUUUUGCGCAAUGGGGGAAACCCUGACGCAGCAACGCCGCGUGGAGGAUGAAGUCCCUUGGGACGUAAACUCCUUUCGACCCGGACGAUAAUGACGGUACGGGUGGAAGAAGCCCCGGCUAACUUCGUGCCAGCAGCCGCGGUAAUACGAGGGGGGCAAGCGUUGUUCGGAAUUAUUGGGCGUAAAGGGCGCGUAGGCGGUGCGGUAAGUCACCUGUGAAACCUCUAGGCUUAACCUANAGCCUGCAGGCGAAACUGCCGUGCUUGAGGGUGGGAGAGGUGCGUGGAAUUCCCGGUGUAGCGGUGAAAUGCGUANAUAUCGGGAGGAACACCUGUGGCGAAAGCGGCGCACUGGACCACAUCUGACGCUGAGGCGCGAAAGCUAGGGGAGCAAACAGGAUUAGAUACCCUGGUAGUCCUAGCCCUAAACUAUGGAUGCUUGGUGUGGCCGGUACCCAAUCCGGGCCGUGCCGAAGCUAACGCGAUAAGCAUCCCGCCUGGGGGAGUACGGUCGCAAGGCUGAAACUCAAA
rnacentral:rRNA from 1 species